rnacentral:misc_RNA from 1 species
CCGAGUUUACAACUCCCAAACCCAAUGUGAACGUUACCAAACUGUUGCCUCGGCGGGAUCUCUGCCCCGGGUGCGUCGCAGCCCCGGACCAAGGCGCCCGCCGGAGGACCAACCAAACUCUAUAUACCCCUCGGGUUUUUUUAUAAUUUGAGCCUUCUCGGGCCUAGUAGGUUUUACGAAAUGAAUAA